UGUAACCAGAGUGANUCANUGGUNUAUNGUGGAAUUGUCCUCGGNGGCAAGUUAGAGNUAUCAGAGGUGGGUAGAUUCGACUCGUAGCAGUGAAGUGGGUAGAGAUGUGGAGGAAUACUGAUGGGGAAGGCAGUCCCGUGGGAUGUGCCUGAUGUUCUUCCUGGAAAGCAGUGGGGAGCAAACAGGAUUAGAUACCCUGGUAGUCCUCCCCCUAAUCGAUGUCAAUUAGUUGUUGGGGAUUCAUUUUCUCAGUACCUUAGCUACCGUGUGAAGUUGCCCGCCUGGGGAGUACGGUCGCAAGAUUAAAGCUCAAAGGAAUUGCGGGGACCCGCACAAGCGGUGGAUGAUGUGGAUUAGUUCGAUGCAACGCGAAAACCCUUCCCUGCCCUUGACAUGCCACUAACGAAGCAGAGAUGCAUUAGGUGCCCGAAAGGGAAAGUGGACACAGGUGCUGCAUGGCUGUGCUCAGCUCGUGUCGUGAGAUGUUGGGUUAAGUCCCGCACCGAGCGCACCCCUUGUCUCUAGUUGGUUCGCAAGAGCCCUCUAGAGAGACUGCCGGUGACAACCCGGAGGAAGGUGGGGAUGACGUCAAUUCCUCAUGCCCCUUAUGGGUAGGUCUUCUCACGUCAUCCAAUGGUGCGUACAGAGGGUUGCCAACCCGCGAGGGGGAGCUAAUCCCAGAAAACGCAUCGUAGUCCGGAUCGUAGUCUGCAACUCGACUACGUGAAGCUGGAAUCGUUAGUAAUCGCGGAUNAGCAUGCCGCGGUGAAUACGUUCCCGGGUCUUGUACACCCCGCCCGUCACACCAUGGGAGUG
rnacentral:rRNA from 1 species